CUUUAGCCGAGGUCACCCCUGCCUGGACCCAGUGGAGAGACAUCACCACAGCCUUUCCAAGGAUGCCCACCACCGAGGGACACAGCUCAGGGUAUUCUCAUAGGAAACAGAAGUUACAGAAUUCAAGGCUCCUCACGUUGGCCAACCUCCCUCCCGUAGGGUUAGAAAACACAGUAUCAGAGGGAAUGCGCUCAAAGGAAAACAUCUAUACGAUAGAGGAGAACGUCUACGAGAUAGAAGACCCAUCAGAGUACCACAGCUACGUCAGCUGCCGGUAGCGAUCCUGACAACGUCUGGGUUGGGGCUUAGGUUGUCCUCUCUGGAAACUCUGAAGUGUGUCAGCUGAGUGGCGUUCAGUGCUUGCCACGGCUACCGAGCACCCUCUUCCAUUGUCCAAGACAGUGAGCUCACCGAGGACUGGACCCGGACCUGCGCAACACUCAGGCCUGUCACAGCAUUGCCUCUGCCUCCCACCAACAAGGCUACUCAGCCCGGAGACUGCUCACUGGGGCAUCAGAACUCACGUGAGCUUCUGUGUGAAGUGGGAAUUCUUACUGUGGGGUCCUAGAGUUCCAGGGAUUUCAGUCCCAUGAUGUGUCCAGGAAGCUCCUGAAACUGUAGGGAAAGUUGUGUGCUGGGAUGUGUGCGUGUCUGUUUGGUCCAGAAAGUCUAAGGGCCACUGAUUUUCAAGGAGCAUGGUGACUCAUAGAAGGUCAAGAACCUACUGGAGCAGGACUAGGUGGUCUUGAAGGUCUCCCUUGAGACUCAGGGUUUGUGCUGCUUUGAGUGAAGGCUCCAGCAGCAGCUGCCCCUGCACAGCUCUCCUGCCCCAGUCAAGGAGACAGCCCAGCGAGCCGGUGUUGGGGCAGGAGCACCUGGGGAAAAGGGAAGCGUGCUCGGUGUAUGUUGUCAAGUUCUGCUCGGGGUGCAUGCAAAGGGAAAUGUCUCUGACCAACUUCUCCAUUCACGGGGGGAACUGGAGCUGUAUUGUUCACAGAAGAAGAAGCAGUGCCUGGGAUGCAGUGUCUGUUUCUUGGUGGAAAGAAGGCGAAGGGCUCCAGCAGUCCAGACUUGUCAGCACUAAGCCCCUUGGUGGAAAGACAGUGGUCCCCAAGCUUCCCUCCCAGGAUUGUGGACACUAGGUCUGCCUUACUUAUUGUCUCCCCAGUGCCUGUCACUGCUCUCACACGUCAUAGAAGUUCACAGACACAGCUCUGUGACCUCACUUCUUGGAGAACUCACGAAUACCCACAAGCUCCACGUGUGCUCUUAUGCAGGCAAAGUGGCUGCUGUCUCUCAGCGUCAUCUCCUAUGUCAGGUGCUUGGAAGUCUGUUACCCCCCAUCUGUUUCCCCCUUCCUGCUGGGCCCUCCUCAGCACCCCAGGACCUAAUCAACAACUCACACCUGCCACUGCCUGAGGACUGCCCCUCCCAGGUGGUGACUAAACUGCUGCUGUGCCUCAGGCCAUGGACGCUUGUCCCCAAAGGCACAGGCAGCCUGUUGGGUUGUUGCUAGGAGGCUUCCUGGCAGUCUGAACUCUUGUAUGAAUUUUCUGUUCUGGCUGCAUCUCUGCAGUUUGGGGAAGCAGUGGCUCUUUCUAGGGAGCUACGGGAAGGAGAUAGUUUUGCAAAGUCCCAGGCAGUGGCUCUCACACAGGUUGAAAAGUUAAUCGUGAAUGUUAUGAAGUUGUGGAGGGAAGGGACUUCAGCACACACUGGAGCAGCUCAGUGGCCCCUCCGAAGGAGGUGCGCACCCUACAAAAUCUGCAGACAAGUGUGUGUGCACACGACUUACCAUGGCAAAGACGUUUGCAAGAGACCUCUUCCCUCAACAGGGGAGUAGCUAGCUGAUCAGUGUGAUCCAUGAGCACACGGGUACAGGCAGAACUAGGUGGUCUUCAUCACUGAGCUGUUUUGCUAAUUGAACAGAAGUUUAUUAAUACUUACUCUGUGCCAGGUCUCUGGUGCCGAGACCAGAGAGACAGACCGAACAGACGUGUCCCCGACCCCCAGAGCUCCCAGUCUGACUGGCAGGAGUCCCGGCUCCAUCCACUCAGGCUGUGAACGUUCACUGUGGUCUGAUCUGUCAGGCACUGGGUUAGUCCCAGGAGCAGAACAGUGAGGGAGCAGAUAAAACCCCUCCUCUGACCAAGCUCAUGUUACUUGUCAGGGAGAAUGCUAUAUUGCCGCGUCCAAAAAAAUGAAAACCUUCAGAAUAGAUAUAUAUAGUUAAUGUAAAAUUUUCUCUUUGCCUUGAAAAAGUCUGGAAGACCCUUCUCUUCUUGGCAGCAGUAAGGCCUGCGGUCCUGGUGUCUGUAAUAUAUGGAGGCAGAGAAUAAUGUCUCUGGCACCUUCUACCAGUCUGCCGGUUCUAUCCUCCGGGGCUGGGAAACUGGUAAAAAAAAAAAAAAAAUCUGGAAGACAUAAACAAAUUAAUAUGUUUACCCCACAGGGGGAAAUGGUCAAAAUAUAGACUUCCACUUUUUUUCACAUGCUCUGUAACUGUUUGAUGAUCUUCAUUUUCUUUGUAAUCAAAAGAGAAGUUUGAAGCAUUAUAGCAAUUUGUCUUGUUUGCCCUCCUCUUCCUCGUAAGAAAUGAAGGCUGCUCUGUCCGAGGAGUAGCCCUUCCCUCUCUCUCACUGCUUCAUUAAUAAACUCUCUUACACUAAUAAAAAAAUAGAAGGAAAGGAGAGGAAGAGAAAAGAAGAGAAG